rnacentral:rRNA from 1 species
GACGAACGCUGGCGGCGUGCUUAACACAUGCAAGUCGAACGGAAAGGCCCCUUUGGGGGUACUCGAGCGGCGAACGGGUGAGUAACACGUGAGUAACCUGCACUUGACUUCGGGAUAACUUCAGGUAACUGGGGCUAAUACCGGUUAGGAAUCCUUGCUGCAUGGUGGGGGUUGGAAAGCUUCGGCGGUUUUGGAUGGACUCGCGGCUUAUCAGCUUGUUGGUGGGGUAGUGGCUUACCAAGGCUUUGACGGGUAGCCGGCCUGAGAGGGCGACCGGCCACACUGAGACUGAGAUACGGCCGAGACACCUACGGGAGGGAGCAGGGGGGAAGAUUGAACAAUGGGCGGAAGCCUGAUGCAGCAACGCCGCGUGCGGGAUGACGGCCUUCGGGUUGUAAACCGCAUUCAGCAGGGGCGAAGCUUGUGGUGACGGUACCUGCAGAAGAAGCACCGGCUAACUACGUG